AUUGAACGCUGGCGGCAUGCUUUACACAUGCAAGUCGAACGGUAACAGGCCGCAAGGUGCUGACGAGUGGCGAACGGGUGAGUAAUGCAUCGGAACGUGCCCAGUCGUGGGGGAUAACGCAGCGAAAGCGGCGCUAAUACCGCAUACGAUCUAUGGAUGAAAGCGGGGGACCGGACGGCCUCGCCAGAUUUGAGCGGCCGAUGUCAGAUUAUGUAGUUGGUGGGGUAAAGGCCUACCAAGCCAACGAUCUGUAGCUGGUCUGAGAGGACGACCAGCCACACUGGGACUGAGCCACGGCCCAGACUCCUACGGGAGGCAGCAGUGGGGAAUUUUGGACAAUGGGCGCAAGCCUGAUCCAGCAAUGCCGCGUGCAGGAAGAAGGCCUUCGGGUUGUAAACUGCUUUUGUACGGAACGAAACGGUCCGGGUUAAUACCCUGGGCUAAUGACGGUACCGUAAGAAUAAGCACCGGCUAACUACGUGCCAGCCGCCGCAGUAACAC
rnacentral:rRNA from 1 species